rnacentral:rRNA from 1 species
GUGAGGAAUAUUGGUCAAUGGGCGAGAGCCUGAACCAGCCAUCCCGCGUGCAGGAUGACGGCCCUACGGGUUGUAAACUGCUUUUAUGUACCAAGAAUAGGCACUACGUGUAGUGUUAUGACGGUAGUACAUGAAUAAGCAUCGGCUAACUCCGUGCCAGCAGCCGCGGUAAUACGGAGGAUGCAAGCGUUAUCCGGAUUCAUUGGGUUUAAAGGGUGCGUAGGCGGUCUUAUAAGUCAGUGGUGAAAUACUGCAGCUCAACUGUAGAACUGCCAUUGAAACUGUGAGACUUGAGUGCGCCUGAGGUAGGCGGAAUGAGUAGUGUAGCGGUGAAAUGCUUAGAUAUUACUCAGAACACCGAUUGCGAAGGCAGCUUACUAAAGCGUAACUGACGCUGAUGCACGAAAGCGUGGGGAGCGAACAGGAUUAGAUACCCUAGUAGUCC